CGGGUCGCAGAAUCGAAGCCUGUGCAGGAACAAAUGGGGGCAGACUGAGCCACGAGCUUGAAGAGCCGGCUCUGCAUGAUUGUAUUAUCCCAAGAGACUCCGGCCCUGUUUCUCCCGCGCACAGAAGGGUUCUGUGCGCACUGAGGUUCAAAUGCAAGAAUAAUUGUGAACACAAAAGUACUAUUCCAAGGCAGAGACCACCGCCAUUCCUUGAACCUCACGGUCCCUCCCUGAGGAAAUCCCCAUCAUGACAAGCACUCAGAGAAGUUGGUUGGUACAGAGUUUCUCUGCUGGUUACCCCAGGUGUGGUGUGGACCCCAGAAGGAUGACAGUUUGAAUCCAAGGGCAGUCCCCUUCCUGGCACAGCAAGCAAAAUAAAGUGAAGCCCCUGGAGGCUCAGGCUCCACAGCAAGACCACAGAGAAGACCAGCCCUCUCCCAUUGCCACAAAGACAAGAGAUAGCUUGAAAGAAGACAGCUAAAAGUGGUGGGUAAACAUUUAAGCCCCAGCACCUGUUGGCUUGAAUUUGCAUGUUCUAUGACUAAUCCUCUGCUCUGUACACAAACUCUCCUUUACCUGCCGGGCUAAUGUCCCAUUCUAAACAAAUUUUGUCCUAAAGGCCACUAACGUUUCACUGCUAGCCCAAAGCUAGACCAUUUUCUCAGCGGCAGUGAGUGACAGCAGGGUUCAAGGGCAGGAGAGCCAAUAUGAC
rnacentral:lncRNA from 1 species